CAUUAGUGAUUAUGAACGGUUGUCUUCUGUGCUGGUUGCGGCAAGUGCACGGAGGUGACUUUCAUCCAACACCCUUGUGAACCUUUGGCCUCUUGCUGGCUUCGGCUGGCUGAGGAUUUACACAAACUCGCAUGUAUUGAGGACCCAUUAUGUGCGCAAGCACUAAUAUACAACUUUCAACAACGGAUCUCUUGGCUCUCGCAUCGAUGAAGAACGCAGCGAAAUGCGAUAAGUAAUGUGAAUUGCAGAAUUCAGUGAAUCAUCGAAUCUUUGAACGCACCUUGCACCCUUUGGCAUUCCGAAGGGUAUGCUCGUUUGAGUGUCAUUGUACUCUCACACUCCCAAUCCCUUUGGAUUGGGAGCGGUGGACUUGGGUGUUGCCGCUUGACUGAGGCUCACCUGAAAUAUGUUAGUGCACCUCUUGAUUGGACAUAGUACGGCGUGAUAAGUGUCUUCGCCGGCUCCUCGCAAAGAGGGUGGCCGAUCGGGAGCUCUGUUGCUUCAAACUGUCUUCGGACAAUC
rnacentral:misc_RNA from 1 species